UACUACGAUGCCCUCAGUAACAGCGAGUGAAGCGGGCGAAGCUCAACCUGAAAAUCGGAUAUCCAAGCGGGUGUUCGAAUUGUGGGCUUUAGACGCGUGAUCAGUGUGUGACCCAGGUAUAACUCUUUUGAAACAAGGGAUCAUAGAGGGUGAGAAUCCCGUCUGUGACUUGGAGUUCGCCGCGUACGAUCCGUGUUCGCAGAGUCGAGUUGUUUGGGAUUGCAGCUCUAAAUGGGUGGUAAAUUUCACCUAAAGCUAAAUAUCGACGAGAGACCGAUAGCGAACAAGUACCGUGAGGGAAAGAUGAAAAGAACUUUGAAAAGAGAGUUAAAAAGUACUUGAAAUUGCUAAGAGGGAAGCACUGGAAACCAGUCGUGAUCUGCGUGUAUCUUAUCUUUCGCUCCUUGAUUUGCGCGUCUUGCCAGAGCCCAAAGCCUGCCUGGCGUGCGAUGAAAGUGCGGGAGUGCACUAUACUGUAGAUCGUAUCAGAAUCAAUUUGAUUCGUGAGAGAAAGCUAUGGCAACGGUAGGUCCAAGGGGGCAACUCCGAGGACUGUUUAGUGCUGUAGUGCUAUCAUGGGUUAGAUUGAGGGACAAUCGAAAUGCGCACCACUAGGUUAGCGUCUCCCUCUUCCCUGGAGUAUCAGAAGGCUUGGACAACAAAGUUGUGCGGUCUUUGAAGUGCUUCACUGGUUGGGAUGAGAUAGCAGCUGCAUUCGCGAUUCUGAUGAAAUGGUUUUCAUUGACCCGUCUUGAAACACGGACCAAGGAGUCUAACAUAUAUGCGAGUAUUUGGGCCUGGAAACCCUUAUGCGCAAUGAAAGUGAAGGUUGUUUUUAACUUCUGAGGUAGGAACCUGCGGUCUCGGCUGCAGGGGCACUAUCGACCGAUCAGUCACUUGUGGCAGAUUUGA
rnacentral:rRNA from 1 species